rnacentral:lncRNA from 1 species
AUAUUUUUUCUCUUCUUAUGACUCCACAUAAAUGUUGAUUCCAAAUGCACGCUUUCUUCUUAAACCAUUCUAUGUGCCUUCCUUUUAAAAAAUUUCCUCAGUAACCUCUACAGAAUCCAAAACAGGUGAAGUAAUUUCAGUUAACCAAAAUUCUAGCCCUGGUUCCCACACUAACAGCUGUUGAUCUUAGAGGGAGGUCUAGAUUCUUCUUGUCCAAAAGACACAACCUAGAGCAAGGGUAAGAACUGGGAAUAAUACAGACAGAAACCAAGGGACACCUUUUACCUAAGGGAUGGUCUCUUUCUGAGGUGAUGGCACAUAGGCUGAAAUGUAAUGAUGACAAUGAGUCAGCGUUGUGCAGCUCUGAGGGAAGAAUGAUCUAGGCAGAAUAAACAAGGGGAAUGUCUGCGGCAGGAAGGGGUUGGAUGUAUGUACUGCAGGAAGGGAGGAGAAUGGAGAUGGAUUAUGUUGUAGUAAUAGAUAUGGAAUAGAUCUUUCCAGGUCUUCCAGGCCCUGAAAGAUGUUUAUAUUUUAUCUUAGGAGGAAGCCCAGCAUCAAGAACAGCAAGUAAGAGUUCACCAGGCUUAAGCUGUUGUCAAGUUUAGGGUCAACACAUGUUUUAUUAGGUCCUUUCUCCUCUUCUUUCUUUUUCUCACAAUUUCUGGUUUGAUUAGAAGACCCAGUUUUCUGAGAAACGCAACAACAACAACAUAAAAAAACUGUAGUAGAUGAAUCCCAAGGCACUGCCAAUUAUUUAAGAUUCCAUAAACUACAAAUGCAAGCC